GACGAACGCUGGCGGCGUGCUUAACACAUGCAAGUCGAACGGAAAGGCCCUGCUUUUGUGGGGUGCUCGAGUGGCGAACGGGUGAGUAACACGUGAGUAACCUGCCCUUGACUUUGGGAUAACUUCAGGAAACUGGGGCUAAUACCGGAUAGGGGCUCCUGCUGCAUGGUGGGGGUUGGAAAGUUUCGGCGGUUGGGGAUGGACUCGCGGCUUAUCAGCUUGUUGGGGGGGUAGUGGCUUACCAAGGCUUUGACGGGUAGCCGGCCUGAGAGGGUGACCGGCCACAUUGGGACUGAGAUACGGCCCAGACGCCUACGGGAGGCAGCAGUGGGGAAUAUUGCACAAUGGGCGGAAGCCUGAUGCAGCAACGCCGCGUGCGGGAUGACGGCCUUCGGGUUGUAAACCGCUUUCGCCUGUGACGAAGCGUGAGUGACGGUAAUGGGUAAAGAAGCACCGGCUAACUACGUG
rnacentral:rRNA from 1 species